AUUGAACGCUGGCGGCAGGCCUAACACAUGCAAGUCGAACGAGUGGCGGACGGGUGAGUAAUGUCUGGGAAACUGCCUGAUGGAGGGGGAUAACUACUGGAAACGGUAGCUAAUACCGCAUACCCUCGGAUGUGCACAGAUGGGAUUAGCUAGUAGGUGGGGUAAAGGCUCACAAAGGCGACGCUCCCUAGCUGGUCUGAGGGGAUGACCAGCCACACUGUGACUGAGACACGGUCCAGACUCCUACGGGAGGCAGCAGUGGGGAAUAUUGCAGAAUGGGCGCAAGCCUGAUGCAGCCAUGCCGCGUGUAUGAAGAAGGCCUUCGGGUUGUAAAGCACUUUCAUCGAGGAGGCGUUACUCGCAGAAGAAGCAACGGCUAACUCCGUGCCAGCAGCCGCGGUAAUUC
rnacentral:rRNA from 1 species